rnacentral:rRNA from 1 species
GAUGAACGCUGGCGGCGUGCCUAAUACAUGCAAGUCGAACGAACAGAUGAGGAGCUUGCUCCUCUGACGUUAGCGGCGGUCGGGUGAUUAACACGUGUAUAACCUACCUCUAAGACUGGGAUAACUUCGGGAAACCGGAUCUAAUACCGGAUAAUAUAUUGAACCGCAUGGUUCACUAGUUAAAGACGGUUUUGCUGUCACUUAUAGCUUGAUCCGCGCCGCAUUAGCUAGUUGGUAAGGUAACGGCUUACCAAGGCAACGAUGCGUAGCCGACCUGAGAGGGUGAUCGGCCACACUGGAACUGAGACACGGUCCAGACUCCUACGGGAGGCAGCAGUAGGGAAUAUUCCGCAAUGGGCGAAAGCCUGACGGAGAAAAGCCGCGUGAGUGAUGAAGGUCUUCGGAUCGUAAAACUCUGUUAUUAGGGAAGAACAAAUGUGGAAGUAACUAUGCACGUCUUGACGGUACCUAAUCAGAAAGCCACGGCUAACUACGUG